GGGGGUAUGGCGCAACGGCAGCGCGUCUGACUCCAGAUCAGAAGGUUGGGAGUUCGAAUCUCUCUGCCCUCA
rnacentral:tRNA from 1 species